AGAUUGGAUUGGGUUUUGGGCAGCCUGGGCUAGUGGGAGGUGUCCUUGCUCAUGGCAGAGGGGUUGAGAUUUGAUGAUCUUCAAGGUUCCUUUUAACCAAAACCAUUCUAUGACUAAUACAUGGCUAAAGCCAGGCUUCAGUAAGAACAUAUCGACCAUAAGAUACAUAGGGUGUUACAUUCAGUGGAUGAACAGCUAAAUCUUGCCACCAUAAGCUGUGUUUGAAGUCUUGUGAGAUCAUCCCUGAAACUCCAGAGCUCCAGAAAGUCUUAUGAGUAUUGAACUAUAUAGAACAAAAAGAUUUUAACUAGUGAAACUGAGCUCAUCUUCAGGUACCUUUCAGGGUCUGUCUUAAAGCUCAGAUUUGGAAUUGCAAUAUAGAGCAUGAGCUGCAUCCUGAUCUGUGUUAGAGGAUCCCCAAAUCCAUCUUCUUGUGCAGCACAGCCAUCCAUCCAAUGUGGGAGGUUGCAGCAGUCAUCUCUAUUUUUCAGCAGAUGGACUUGUUUUGCAAAGCAGAACAUUGGUGUUGCCCAAAUAAACUGUUAAAACGCAAUGAAUUCAGAAGCAGCUAUUCUACAGGAGCCUAAUGCAAGUUGUCUUAAAAAGUUGUCUUAAAAGCACCUGAUUUUAGGGAGUGGAAGCUCAUGGCUAGCACUUUGUGAAAAUGAGGAAGGGUUCACAGAGGGACUGCAGACCUUGGGCUGGGUUGAUUGCUUCAUUUCCAAAAGAUGACCGCUAAACAUCACAAGAGAUGAAAUGAAACUGAGAAGUCCAGCGAAAUGGGCUUGAAUUACUGCUCCUAUGAAAACCUGAAGAAAUCUUUUCAACCACUUUUCGACUUAUCAUGAGAUAUUUUGAAUCUUGUACUCAAUGAAAAUAUUUCCCUGAAAACUUGGAUUAUU